UUUUAGAUAAAGUAAUCAACUUGAAUAAACAGCAUAUGUGGCCAAAUUUGGGUUAUAUUGGAAGUUGGUCUGCGGCAACUGCAAUACAAUGUUUAUGUGGCAAGUAACGCCCCACAAUAUUGCCCUCUUUUAUUCCCAUUUACUCGUAGCCAUAUCUGAUGAGUCAUCUGAAAAAAGUUUUGCCAACAAGCUAAAUAAAAGGGGGUCAGAAUGCGAGCUAAACUAGCCAAAAAACCAGAUUCCAACGGGAAUGUCGUUAAGAUAUGGUGCUCUUUAGAAGUAUUUGCAAAAUUCAAACGUGUAAGCAAAUCCAGAAAAUUAGGGAAGACUCGUGCAUAAAUUUAACAAGCAAUGACACCGCGACAAAAACAAUCCCUGCUUUCGUAGGCGUUUUAAGCCAUUCAAAGCCCCUACAAACACACGUGCACCCGUGGGAAAGUGACGUAACAUUAGAGAGAGAGAGUGUGUGUGUUGGUAGAAAGAGAGGGGAGUGCAAUCAAUGACGUACGGAGUCCACAAACACCAGCAGCUGAGCCACAGAUGCAAUUAAAACUUUGUGAUUUAUCGCACAAAAACAAAAGGCACGUGAAGAUGGAGUGAGGAAGACAAGAGACUCGAACUGGUUGCAUCUGAAUGUUGUUGCUGAAUUACUUUUGCAGCGGGUACUAACUGUGGCAAUGUUUUUUUAUAAUUAAGCUACAUUUAAAUUUUUUUAUUUUCUUUGCACUCCUUACUCUAGUAUAUUAUUCAUUCCACAUAGUUUUAUCACCAUCAUCGCUAGAUGAAUAUUGAGUUAAUUUCUAAACAGAUUUUAUUGCUAAUAGUGUUUGUAAAUUAAAAUAAAUGGAUUUUAAGGCGUAACAAGAUAACAAUAAUAUUUUUGUGUUGGAUGGGUACAUUUUCAGAGGUAGCACAAGGCUGUGCCUCUUUUCUCUCUGUGUGAUAACAAGGAAAUGUAACGGAGAUUUACGCAAUGUGAGACCGAGGGAGUGGGCAAGGGAAAGAGAUAGACAGGGCCACUCACAGUCCAAGUGCUUCUUCUUCGGGCCAAUGCAUUCCUCCGUGGUGGCCUUGCAAACGGACUUGGCGAGUCCUUGGCCCGCAAGGCUGUGACGGGCGGCCAGCAGCCUGUCGUUGAUCGUUUGCCCUGCCAUGGUCAUGAUGAAGCUGUUGCUGUUGUUGUUCCUGCUCCCGCUCGCUGGCUUUUAUUUACUUGAUUAAUUUAAUUAUGCACCUAAGGAGCUGACCACACCGACACACACACACACACUCGCAAGCAGAUACAGAGAGAGGGAGAGAGAGACACACACACGCGUAUGGGGCGAGCGAGAGACAGAGAGGUAUUGAUUGAUUGAGAAUAUUUCGAACGGGAAAACUCUGCUAUGCGAGCCUCACGAUUAAACAAACGGUAAAGAUUUAGUGGUUCCUACGUCACAAUCACUACACAAUUUAUCACCGCGAUUUAUGCGCUCUCUAACCGGUGCCUAACGCUGAAACGCGAUUUUUUAAUUCUCUAUUUUUCCUCUGCCACAAAUCGAUAAUGGCGACUGGCAAA